rnacentral:rRNA from 1 species
GGGAAUAUUGGGCAAUGGAGGAAACUCUGACCCAGCGACGCCGCGUGCGGGAUGAAGGCCUUCGGGUUGUAAACCGCUUUCAGCAGGGAAGAAGCGAAAGUGACGGUACCUGCAGAAGAAGCACCGGCUAACUAUGUGCCAGCAGCCGCGGUAAUACAUAGGGUGCAAGCGUUGUCCGGAAUUAUUGGGCGUAAAGAGCUCGUAGGUGGUUCGUCACGUCGGAUGUGAAACUCUGGGGCUUAACCCCAGACCUGCAUUCGAUACGGGCGAGCUUGAGUAUGGCAGGGGAGUCUGGAAUUCCUGGUGUAGCGGUGGAAUGCGCAGAUAUCAGGAGGAACACCAAUGGCGAAGGCAGGACUCUGGGCCAUUACUGACACUGAGGAGCGAAAGCGUGGGGAGCGAACAGGAUUAGAUACCC